rnacentral:rRNA from 1 species
AUUGAACGCUGGCGGCAGGCUUAACACAUGCAAGUCGAGCGGGGUGAUGGUGCUUGCACUAUCACUUAGCGGCGGACGGGUGAGUAAUGCUUAGGAAUCUGCCUAUUAGUGGGGGACAACAUCUCGAAAGGGAUGCUAAUACCGCAUACGUCCUACGGGAGAAAGCAGGGGAUCACUUGUGACCUUGCGCUAAUAGAUGAGCCUAAGUCGGAUUAGCUAGUUGGUGGGGUAAAGGCCUACCAAGGCGACGAUCUGUAGCGGGUCUGAGAGGAUGAUCCGCCACACUGGGACUGAAACACGGCCGAGACUCCUACGGGAGGCAGCAGUGGGGAAUAUUGGACAAUGGGGGGAACCCUGGUCCAGCCAUGCCGCGUGUGUGAAGAAGGCCUUAUGGUUGUAAAGCACUUUAAGCGAGGAGGAGGCUCUUUUGGUUAAUACCCAAGAUGAGUGGACGUUACUCGCAGAAUAAGCACCGGCUAACUCUGUGCCAGCAGCCGCCGUAAGAC